GUGCUGGCUUCAGCAGUACAUAUACUAAAGCUGGAAUGAUACAGAAAAGACUAGCCUAGCCCCUGCACAAGGAUGACAUGCAAAUGCAUGAAGAUUCCAUAUUUUAA
ensembl:snRNA U6 U6 spliceosomal RNA